GACGAACGCUGGCGGCGUGCUUAACACAUGCAAGUCGAACGUGAUUUUUAUGGAAUAGCCUUCGGGAUAGGAAAUAGAAUGAAAGUGGCGAACGGGUGAGUAACACGUGAGCAACCUACCUUACACAGGGGGAUAGCCGUUGGAAACGACGAUUAAUACCGCAUGAGACCACAGAACCGCAUGGUAAAGGGGUCAAAGAUUUAUCGGUGUAAGAUGGGCUCGCGUCUGAUUAGCUAGUUGGAAGGGUAAAGGCCUACCAAGGCGACGAUCAGUAGCCGGUCUGAGAGGAUGAACGGCCACAUUGGAACUGAGACACGGUCCAAACUCCUACGGGAGGCAGCAGUGGGGAAUAUUGCACAAUGGGGGAAACCCUGAUGCAGCGACGCCGCGUGAGCGAAGAAGGUUUUCGAAUCGUAAAGCCCUGUCCUAUGAGAAGAUAAUGACGGUAUCAUAGGAGGAAGCCCCGGCUAAAUACGUGCCAGCAGCCGCGGUAAUACGUAUGGGGCGAGCGUUGUCCGGAAUUAUUGGGCGUAAAGGGUACGUAGGCGGUCUAUUAAGUCAGGUGUGAAAGCGUGAGGCUUAACCUCAUUAAGCACUUGAAACUGAUAGACUUGAGUGAAGGAGAGGAAGGUGGAAUUCCUAGUGUAGCGGUGAAAUGCGUAGAUAUUAGGAGGAAUACCGGUGGCGAAAGCGACUUUCUGGACUUGUACUGACGCUCAGGGACUAAAGCGUGGGGAUUAACAGGAUUAAUUCCCCGGUAGUCCUAAGUCUAACUCCCUCAUUGAUAUCAAACUUAUUAAUUCCCCCCCACCCGCGCGGGGGCGAAGAAACACACAUCCUCUCCCCCAUGGUGUGGUUUAUAUAAAUAAGGUCUUCAGC
rnacentral:rRNA from 1 species